AGUGAACGCUGGCGGUAGGCCUAACACAUGCAAGUCGAACGGCAGCACAGAGGAGCUUGCUCCUUGGGUGGCGAGUGGCGGACGGGUGAGGAAUACAUCGGAAUCUACUCUGUCGUGGGGGAUAACGUAGGGAAACUUACGCUAAUACCGCAUACGACCUACGGGUGAAAGCAGGGGACCUUCGGGCCUUGUGCGAUUGAAUGAGCCGAUGUCGUAUUAGCUAGUUGGCGGGGUAAAGGCCCACAAAGGCGACGAUCCGUAGCUGGUCUGAGAGGAUGAUCAGCCACACUGGAACUGAGACACGGUCCAGACUCCUACGGGAGGCAGCAGUGGGGAAUAUUGGACAAUGGGCGCAAGCCUGAUCCAGCCAUACCGCGUGGGUGAAGAAGGCCUUCGGGUUGUAAAGCCCUUUUGUUGGGAAAGAAAUCCAGCUGGCUAAUACCCGGUUGGGAUGACGGUACCCAAAGAAUAAGCACCGGCUAACUUCGUGCCAGCAGCCGCCGCGG
rnacentral:rRNA from 1 species